rnacentral:rRNA from 1 species
CCUACGGGUGGCAGCAGUGGGGAAUAUUGGACAAUGGGGGCAACCCUGAUCCAGCCAUGCCGCGGGUGUGAAGAAGGCCCUCGGGUUGUAAAGCACUUUCAGUGAGGAAGAACGCCUGGUGGUUAAUACCCAUCAGGAAAGACAUCACUCACAGAAGAAGCACCGGCUAACUCCGUGCCAGCAGCCGCGGUAAUACGGAGGGUGCGAGCGUUAAUCGGAAUUACUGGGCGUAAAGCGCGCGUAGGUGGCUUGAUAAGCCGGUUGUGAAAGCCCCGGGCUCAACCUGGGAACGGCAUCCGGAACUGUCAAGCUAGAGUGCAGGAGAGGAAGGUAGAAUUCCCGGUGUAGCGGUGAAAUGCGUAGAGAUCGGGAGGAAUACCAGUGGCGAAGGCGGCCUUCUGGACUGACACUGACACUGAGGUGCGAAAGCGUGGGUAGCAAACAGGAUUAGAUACCCUGGUAGUC